AAAUCCUGUCUGUGUUCCUGAGUAUCUAUAUUGCAUUUCACGGAAGAAGACACUGAGACUUUGAGGUCCAAUGGCUGAGCCAAGACUUAAAGCCAGGCUGUCUCUUGCUCCAAAUCCAUACUCUUAACUAAUCCCCUGAGGAAGCUUUUGCAGGCGUGAGCAGUCCCAGAUCAGCAAAAUUGAAAAGGAUGCAUGUGUGAAAGGACCAAGUGGAUCCUCCCUAGUGUUUUCGUGUGAGCAUGAGUAAAGGCAAGAACAGGGAAGAAAAUACGAUUGAGAAAACAAGUCUAAGUUUAUGUUUCAGAGUUCUGCUUUAUAUUGUGGCUCCACGGUGAUUUGAAAACCCUGCGGUGCUUGAUUGCCUGGUUAGACGUGGGGAAGGAGCCACUUGUCUUAUAGCAAGGUGAAAUCAAGAAACACGGAAAGUCAUGACUGGUUUCCCCAACCACUACGUGCCCCUUAUCCCUCCACCUGACUAUGUCCACCUCUGCCUAGAAGACUCCUUCUGGAACUUUAAGACCCACCGUCUCAUCUCUUUGAAACUUUCUAGAUCCAUCCUUCUUUGGCCCCAAGUAGAAUAGCUGUUCUUUUUAUAUACAUUUCCUCAGACCCACAUAGGUAUGUGUGCAUUACUAAUAGGUCACUUUUAAUAUGCCCGCGUCCCCUACCAGGAAGUGAGCUUCUCAAGGACAGGGACUGCAUUCUGGUCAGUGUGGCUCAGCUGGGCCCCCUGUUGAGAGAGGUUGGGCAAGGGCCCUCUGCCUGAGGCCCCACCAUGGCUCUGAACCCACCAGUGCAGUCGGGCAAGCCUUGGCCUCCUCCUUCCCUUGGCCGGUGUCCAAGUGACUCAGGCCUUUUCCUGGAGGCCAGGAACGUGCCCCAGCCCAGAUCCUGGUGCUGAGCUCCACUCUGCCCCAUGGCUCCGCUGACGCCAGCCUGCCUGAGGCCACGUGAUCCCCACCAGCCUCUCCAGGGUCCCUGCUCUGCCCUGUUUCAUCUUGCCUCUGCCCUGGUGACAGCUCUCCUUCACUCCUCAUCACACUCCAGUCCCUGCUGCCUCACUCCAGGGGAAAGGGAGCUGGAAUCCUCGCCCAGCCGUGGGGGCGUUAGACCCCCAGGGAGGCAGAAUGAUGGCUCCCUGGAGAGAUCAGGUCCCAAUCCCUAGAACCUCAUGCUGCCUUCUAAGAAACAAUAAGGGCCUUUGCGGGUGUGAUUAAAUUAAGGAUCCGGUGAUGGAGAGAUUAUCCUGGAUUCGUCAGGUGAGCCCUCAAUGCCACUGUAGUGUCCCUGUGAGAGAGAAGCAGGGGGAAAUUUCACAGA